rnacentral:rRNA from 1 species
CACGUAGUUAGCCGUGACUUUCUGGUUGGAUACCGUCACUGCGCGAACAGUUACUCUCGCGCACAUUCUUCUCCAACAACAGAGCUUUACGAGCCGAAACCCUUCUUCACUCACGCGGUGUUGCUCCAUCAGGCUUGCGCCCAUUGUGGAAGAUUCCCUACUGCUGCCUCCCGUAGGAGUAUGGACCGUGUCUCAGUUCCAUUGUGGCCGAUCAGUCUCUCAACUCGGCUAUGCAUCAUCGCCUUGGUAAGCCAUUACCUUACCAACUAGCUAAUGCACCGCAGGUCCAUCCCAAAGCGAUAGCCAAAGCCAUCUUUCAAACAAAGCCAUGCAGCUUUUGUUGUUAUGCGGUAUUAGCAUCUGUUUCCAAAUGUUAUCCCCCGCUUUGGGGCAGGUUACCUACGUGUUACUCACCCGUCCGCCACUCACUGGUGAUCCAACGUCAAUCAGGUGCAAGCACCAUCAAUCAGUUGGGC